rnacentral:rRNA from 1 species
UACGAAGGGUGCAAACGUUGCUCGGAAUUAUUGGGCGUAAAGCGCACGUAGGCGGCUUUGCAAGUCCCAUGUGAAAGCCCACGGCUUAACCGUGGAAGUGCAUGGGAAACUGCAGAGCUUGAGUACUUAAGAGGAUCGCGGAAUUCCCGGUGUAGAGGUGAAAUUCGUAGAUAUCAGGAGGAACACCGGUGGCGAAGGCGGAUCUCUGGGCCGAUACUGACGCUGAGGAGCGAAAGCGUGGGGAGCGAACAGG